UACGAAGGGUGCAAGCGUUAUUCGGAAUCAUUGGGCGUAAAGCGCGCGCAGGCGGAUCAGCAAGUCAGAUGUGAAAUCUCGGAGCUCAACUCCGAAACUGCGUCUGAAACUGCUAGUCUAGAGUGUCGGAGGGGGUAGGGGAAUUUCACGUGUAGGGGUAAAAUCCGUAGAGAUGUGAAGGAACACCGGGGGCGAAGGCGCCUACCUGGACGACUACUGACGCUGAGGCGCGAAAGCGUGGGGAGCAAACAGG
rnacentral:rRNA from 2 species